CCUACGGGAGGCAGCAGUGGGGAAUAUUGGACAAUGGGGGAAACCCUUAUCCAGCGACGCCGCGUGAGGGAAGAAGGUUUUCGGAUUGUAAACCUCUGUCAGUGGGGACGAUAAUGACGGUACCCACGGAGGAAGCCACGGCUAACUACGUGCCAGCAGCCGCGGUAAUACGUAGGUGGCAAGCGUUGUCCGGAAUUACUGGGUGUAAAGGGAGCGUAGGCGGGAUGUCAAGUCAGAAGUGAAAAUUAUGGGCUCAACUCAUAACCUGCUUUUGAAACUGAUAUUCUUGAGUGAUGGAGAGGCAGGCGGAAUUCCCGGUGUAGCGGUGGAAUGCGUAGAUAUCGGGAGGAACACCAGUGGCGAAGGCGGCCUGCUGGACAUUAACUGACGCUGAGGCGCGAAAGCGUGGGGAGCAAACAGGAUUAGAUACCCGUGUAGUC
rnacentral:rRNA from 1 species